UCUUAUCAAGAGCGGCGGAGGGACUGGCCCUAUGAAGCCCGGCAACCGGUUGUGUGAAACACGGUGCUAAAUCCUGCAGAACAAUCGAUGUUCUGGUAGAUGAGA
rnacentral:ncRNA from 1 species